UUCUAGGCUGGAUUCGACACUUGAAAAGGCGAAACAUAUAUUGAUACCGAAGUGACCCGAAGCUCCAGGAGCGAAGCGAACGGAUAAACCAGAAAGAGUCUCCUUCUGUAAAAGGAACAACAACAACCUCUUGCCCUAGAUUCAGCUGCUGAAGGAUCUGCAUCUCUUGUUUCGGAAGAAACUGGACGAUCGGCUUAAGAUUCGAAAGAAACUGGAUCCGUUAGUUCAGGGAAAACUGUAGCUCUUGAUUCAGGAUAAGGAAAAACAGGAUAUGUUGUUUCGAGAAAAACUAGAACCGUUGGUGCGGCUGAUGCUGAUGUUGAUGCGUCUGUAUCCGCGCCUGUUUAUGCGCCUGUUUCGAGUUCAUAUUUGGCUUCAGAUGGUGGAGAAACAGGAUUUGUUGGUUCGGUAGAAACUGGAUGAUCUCUUGUUUCGGGAGGAGAUACUGAUACGUCGUCUGAUGCUGAGGGAUCGGGAUCUGUUAGUUCGGGAGGAAAAACUAGAUAUGUUAGUUUGGCGGAUGCUGGUUUGGAUGCGUCUUCGGAUGUUUAUUCGGCGAGAUCAAAUGCAGAUGUGUCUGCUUUAUCAUACUUUGGAAGUUCAAUUGAAUGCCUUUGCUUCAAAGCCCACCUCCCUCUUCCGAACCUUUAGGCUCAAGGGGCUUAUUCGAGCCUAACCGAACCGCCGAUCUAUCUCCUUGUCCGCCCACCCUUCCCUAAAUAAGGGUAAAAAAAUAAGAGGGUUUAUUCAAAAGCACGAAAAGCGAGCAAGCGACUCCUUAAUACGCCUUCGGCUUAGAGAAUGCUACCGAUUAAUUCACCUAAAGAAGCAGCCUUCCACUUCAGAACUCCCAAGGGACCUGCCCUAAGCUAGCUAGCAGACUAAUCGCAUAUGUUUUUAGCUACUUUUUCAAAAAAAGAGUCAAAUCAUGCCCUACAACAAGGGCCAAAAAAGAUCGGUUUUACUAAAAAGCUAUAAAAAGCUGGCAUGGCAAGGAGGACAAAGAAAGGACUCGGUUCGUAUCGGGUAAUUCCAUUGAUCCCUCGAUUCGGAUCGGGUAAUCCCAUUGAUCUCUCGGCUCGGAUAAGGCUCUUGGUCUUAUAGUCUUAAGCUAGCUAAGGGUUCGGUUACUGCGGGGGCUAUUCAUUCCCGCUUCAAACUAGCCUGCCUAAAGGCCAAAGCAAGAGGCUGGCAGGGGGCGCGAAAAGAAAGUCAAUUCAAGGUUUUAUCCUAUAUAUACUUUGAUUUCUCGGUACAGUUGCUUCUAUAGGUGUCAAACCAACAGAAUGAGACCCAGUACCCGAAACUUUCUAUUCUAAGACCGCGUUGUUCAUUGUGAUUGGUCUAGGGUACGUAUGGUCGAACUUUUCUUGAGUGAAGUUCUCGCUGCCCUCCCCUCUUGUUGGCCGAAAGCUACAGGACACGGACAUCUUCCUUCCACACCGGCCUCGCUUCCUUCCCCACCAGCUGCUCUAUGCUCCGAUUCUGUAGUGUAAUAAAAAGGUGGGUAAUCGAAUCGAAUCGAAUGAAAGGUCUGAUUGGGGCAAAUCUUCUCAUCCAAUGCCCUUUCUAUCUCCCAGCCAGCAAGAUUUCAUGCAUCAAUAAAGAAUUCCCACCCAAGAAUGAAUAUAAGGGGCGAUUAACUGGAUUUCUGUAACUGUGUAACUCUAAUUUCCGUGACCGUAUAUUAUUACUUCCCCCCCUCCACCGGGUCGGGUAAACUGCGGAUUGAUUUCAUCGGUUGAUUGAAAUGUGUAACUUGAAUUCCUUGUAUAAGUGCCCCACUACAAUUAAUUAGAGAUAGAUAGCUUUGCGUGUGCCCGUGUACAAUGAAUUCAUCGGGGAGGUGUGUCCGUAUACAAUGAAUUAGGGAAUGGCUGCUUUGCCCAAUCUAUCUAUUUCAAGCUGACCCCAACCUUGCAUUCCAGAGCUUAGCGUUUUUUAGUGGCAUGAUUAUUUCCCGCCCUUUAUUCUAUGAAGCAACCCACCCCUAUUAUUAUUGAAGAUCGACCGAUAUUAUUGAAGAGCUACACUCCACUUCUUGAAUCGAUCUCAGCCGGCAUUUCGAUCUAAUAUUCAAUAGCUUCAUUCCCAACCUUCUAUUCCCGUUUCGUAGGGCAUUCGAUCGAUUAUUCAUUUAGGUGGUAGGCGGUUUCGAACCUAUCUCUGCACCCUUCCCUUUCUUCAAUCUGAUUCGCUUUCUAUUCCGAAUUUCAUGCAUCAAUAAAGAAUUUCCCAUCCAAGAAUGAAUAUACGGGGCGGAAGUGCACUCACACCUUCAAUGAUAUAGGGUUGAGGGGCUGAAACAAUAAUAGUGGGCUGUCUAGACCGGCAUCAAUUUGAACUAGCAAGUGCUGCCUAAUCUCCGGAGUCACUCUCAACCCUGGUAUUUGAUGGUGGAAGUAAAGCGGAGGAAUCCUCGACUCUAAAUCUGACUUGUGGAUCGCUAGCAAUGGAAUCUCGCAACCCUUUAAAUGGAAUAUCGCAACCCUAAUCGCAACCCUAGUGGACUUGAAGCAGAUUCCAGCUCUUUCUCUUCCUCGCCCGUCAAUCUAAUAAUAUCGAAUCGAAUGGUCCCUUGGUUUAUGAGAUAGAUGAGUUACGACCCGGUGCCCAAGUCAUACCACUUGUGUGCAUAAGCCAGCCCACUGGAUUCGGAGGUUCUGGAAUGAGGGAAAGGAGAAGCUUACUAAUGAAGAAGGUCGAACUUCCAUAAUUCUAAUAAGGGCGGGCCUUACUAUUUCUCCAAAGCUCCUCUCAAGCAUCGAUUCAUAUUACGUAUGUAAGUCGUUGGAAGGGGAGCGCUUUGAUAAUAAUAGGGCUGGCUGCCAAUAGUAGUAGCCUCCAGAGACGCGGUAGAAACAACUUCCCUUCCAUAAGCAGACUGCAGCGCAUCAAUGAAAGCUCGAUAAUCCAACCCACGUAACUUAAGAGUGCAUAUUCGAAUGUGCUCUCCUGCUCAUUCAUCGGCUCCAUCGGCAACACACUUUGAGAGCGAUCUCGCUCCUCUCCCGCCAUCCCACUUCAUAUGGUGCUUCCAACUCCAUCCGUCCCCCAGGCCUUUUCUUCCUAAUAGCGGGAAUCCUAUGCCCUACUAUUAUGAUCGAUAAAGUGACACAUCUCCCAAAUUCCAUUGUGGUGGAACAGAAUAGAAACAUUCUUCUCUAGGCGAAUGUGUUAGAAACACCUAUUCAAACCCUCUUAUAGACGUAUUAACGACCCUACUAUUACUGGAGCAUUCUAUGAUGGGGUUCCCGCCCACCCGGAAUCAAUAAUCAUCAAACCUACUAUUACUAUCGGAUCUCAUAUACUUGGGUUAUAGCUACUCAAAGGGAUGGGGAAUAGAAUUCUCUAGUGAAGGGAAGGGGUGGGGUAGACUCGCCAAUAGAUUCUAUUCUCGUACUCGGGGUGACUGCAAACCAAUCUGAAUAAUAGGAGGAGGAGUUGGGGGGCGGGAAUGAGAUUGGACAUGAAGAAAUGGGGCGGGAUAGUCCUUCAUAUGAGAGAUGAGGGGGAAUGAUCGAAUCAAUUGGAUGAAGCGGAUUGGUUGAUCAAGAGGAAGUGAUACAUCGCCUACUAUUUGAGAAAUACUAAUAAUAUGGGGAAAGAGGAAUUGAAGCGCUAGCAAUAGUAAUGAAUAAGGCGGGAGCCUCCAUUCGAAUAGUUUCUCGGGGGAAUUCUAUCUCUACUGCCCCACUCCUAUCAAUAUAAGGGGGGGCAAUCCACUAUUCAACAGUAGGUUGUUGAUACAUAUCUAAUAGAGGUGGAAGUUUCUAUUUAAUAAUAGUAGGGCCAACCUCAAGUAAUAGUAAUUUCUCUCUUGCCGCAGGUUGCUAAUACAUAUGUGAUCUCUUCCACUUCAAGAUUAGUCCCCCGGCAAUGCAUGGUAGGGCCUAGACAAAAGGCACAUAUCCUUGACCCUGGAUCCUUAGCAACCUCCCCAAUGGCAAUAAUGAGAAA
rnacentral:lncRNA from 1 species